AGAGCAGCAGAGGAGGGAUCCCCCUUCCAGGAUGAAGAGACGUGCAAUAGAUGUCGUGUGUACAGAGAAACAACAUGAUGAAAAUACAUCAUUGACAAUCCAUAUGACAAAAAUUAAUACAUACAAUGUGAGAAGGUGGAUCCAUUAGGAUGUCAUGUCAAGCAGCUUCCCGGCGUCGCUAAAAAAGAUAGAGCCAGAGCAACAUGACCUCCUCUUCG